GAUGAACGCUGGCGGCGUGCCUAAUACAUGCAAGUCGAGCGAACAGAUGAGGAGCUUGCUCCUCUGACGUUAGCGGCGGACGGGUGAGUAACACGUGGAUAACCUACCUAUAAGACUGGGAUAACUUCGGGAAACCGGAGCUAAUACCGGAUAAUAUAUUGUACCGCAUGGUUCAAUAGUGAAAGACGGUUUUGCUGUCACUUAUAGCUGGAUCCGCGCCGCAUUAGCUAGUUGGUAAGGUAACGGCUUACCAAGGCAACGAUGCGUAGCCGACCUGAGAGGGUGAUCGGCCACACUGGAACUGAGACACGGUCCAGACUCCUACGGGAGGCAGCAGUAGGGAAUCUUCCGCAAUGGGCGAAAGCCUGACGGAGCAACGCCGCGUGAGUGAUGAAGGUCUUCGGAUCGUAAAACUCUGUUAUUAGGGAAGAACAAAUGUGUAAGUAACUAUGCACGUCUUGACGGUACCUAAUCAGAAAGCCACGGCUAACUACGUG
rnacentral:rRNA from 1 species